UGCUCACACUUCACAAGAUGGCGUCCUCUGUUCUGCUCUGCCUAUAAGAAAAGGCAAAGCAACAAGGUCAGUCACCAGGGCUGUAAGACCCUGGGGCUGAAGAGACAACAAACUUCCCAGAAAGUGUGCGUUGCGUUACGCUGCAAAUGUGUGCUUGGCUGUAAGGAGUACACACCAAAGCCUGCUGAGCUGUGACGAGAAGAGACAGGUCUAUUCGGAGCUUUAACCACCCUGGUGAUGUGAUUGGUUGUGUCGUUGGCCUUUAAGUAUUGAACCAACGUUCCAUUCCUAGGAGAAAUCCCAUCUGGUUAAGAAGAAGCUCAUGGUUACAAAGGAAUACUUGUUGAGUUUUACAGCAAAGAAACCAAUAUGUUUGAGGACCUGGAAGUCCCACCCUUUUCCUUCCACCAAGCAAUUGGCCCUUGGCAUCUUUACUGAUAGAUCAAGAAUCAA
rnacentral:sRNA from 1 species